CCCGGUGCCGUCACAGCCGGCGGGGCGGGAGCGGCGGGCGGGGCCCGGGCAGCCUGUCACGGCCGCUCGGUGCGGUCCCUGUGCCCGCCGGUCUCUUUAGUCGGGAUCUGGGUCGUUUUCCUGGCUUCCUGAAUCCAGUGAGGACUGGCGGGCUGGUCAGCAUGUAGAGUUUGAAGCCAUUUCCCUUUGUCCUAUCACUACAGUUCCUGAUGAAGAGUCCCUCUACAUCUUCCUUGGAGGUGCCCUGCAGAUACUGGAAGAUUGCUAUGAAGUCUCCACACAACCUUCUCCAGGCUGAACAGCCCCAGCUUUCUCAGCCUGUUUUCGUAGGGGAGGUGAUCUGGUUCCAAUCACGCUGAUAAAUGGCUGAAAAUCUGUUUUGCAAGCUAGGAGUGUAUAUGUCGGUAUACACAUGCACACUUGUAUUAAUUUUACAGCUUUAUUGGUGUACUGCUACUCCUUCUUGCUUAGAAAUAUUACUGCUAAUAUAGAAAAGCCUUAACACAUGGCCUUCCUGUGUCACAGUAUUUGUGUGGGUGUAAAAUGUCUCUGAGUGCUUGUACCACACUAAUACAGUUGAGUUGAAGUGGUUUCAAAAUACAGACAAAGCUUCCUGUGUGAGGGGAAAAGGAACACCCUCAAAAACAAACAGGGGACUGAUAGAUACAAACUGUCUAUGCAGUAGCUAAAUGCUUACUGUCUGCCUAAUGAAAAAUUUGUUCAUAUGCAAAAAUCAGUAAGUACCAAAGUUUCUCUUUUUUUAUUUCCAGGUGAUGUCAUACCUAGAACUCUGUAUUUGAGUGAGUUUGACAACUAGUCAAAAUCAUGACAAAAUAUGAAUUCUUACUAAGUCCUGUCAAGAUAGUUGUGAUCUAUUAAAACUGAUGUUACAAAUUA